AAGUAUUUUUACACAGCCAAACUGUUGUAGCACUCACAAUUGUUUACCUGUACCAUGUUUCUUUAAUUAACUAGGACCUAUCCAUCCAGAUAUUACAUUUGAAGAUGGAUUUGGUAACUUGGUUAAAUCCUGUCAAAGUUCCUCGAGUGAACGCACCAAACAGAUUGAGUCAGAACUAUCAGAAAGUUUUGUCUCCCUUGCUUCAUUCGUUGAUGGUACGCAUGUGAUUAACUCUUUUGAAGAGGAAUUUGAGGACAAUACCUGGAGCACACUCAGUGAAAAUGUUGCUUUAACUAUGUCUGAAUGUGUCGUCUCACUUGCUUCAUUCAAUGGAAAUUCAAGGUGUUUUGCUUGCACAGGCGUAUAUAUAAACUGUAAUCCCGUGAGAAUCCUUACUACAGCAAGUUUGGUUAAAACUUCUGGCGAUGGAAACAAGAUUGAUGAUAACUUGCGGAUUGAAGUGCACCUUAAUAAUAAACAACAUGUCACGGGGACAUUGAAACAUUAUGAUCUACGCUAUAAUGUUGCAGUUGUUGAGAUCAUGGGUUCCUACAGUUCUUGUGCAGUGGAUGUGGAAGAGCGUAUUUCUUUCACCCCUAAUAUUGAGGUUUUAGCUGUAGGGCGUCUCUUUGAACGUCCAAAAUUAAUGGCCUCAAGAGGGGUGUUAAUUGACAGAAAAAGCAAACUUGCUUGCGAAGAGCUUGGGAUUUCCACUUGUAAAAUCACCUAGGCUGGGAUUGGAGGGCCUCUUAUUGAUGCUUGUGGGAAUUUGAUUGGCAUGAAUUUCUUCCAUGAUGAAGAAACUCCAUACCUACCGAGGGAAAAAAUUCAGGAAGUCUUGGGAUAUUUUGAUGAACAAUGCAUGUCGAAUGACAGUUGGUCUGAACCAAGUGAUCGUUAUUAUAUACCAGCUUUCUACUCUAUACCGUAUGGUUUGUUCGGAGAUGAGUACUUUGAUAACAAAAAGGAUGCAUAUUCUCCGUCUCCGGUUUUGUGU